AUUGAACGCUGGCGGCAUGCUUUACACAUGCAAGUCGAACGGUAACAGGCCGCAAGGUGCUGACGAGUGGCGAACGGGUGAGUAAUGCAUCGGAACGUGCCCAGUCGUGGGGGAUAACGCAGCGAAAGCUGCGCUAAUACCGCAUACGAUCUGUGGAUGAAAGCGGGGGACCGUAAGGCCUCGCGCGAUUGGAGCGGCCGAUGUCAGAUUAGGUAGUUGGUGGGGUAAAGGCUCACCAAGCCGACGAUCUGUAGCUGGUCUGAGAGGACGACCAGCCACACUGGGACUGAGACACGGCCCAGACUCCUACGGGAGGCAGCAGUGGGGAAUUUUGGACAAUGGGGGCAACCCUGAUCCAGCAAUGCCGCGUGCAGGAAGAAGGCCUUCGGGUUGUAAACUGCUUUUGUACGGAACGAAACGGCUCUGGUUAAUACCUGGGGCUAAUGACGGUACCGUAAGAAUAAGCACCGGCUAACUACGUGCCAGCCGCCGCUGUAAAAC
rnacentral:rRNA from 1 species